rnacentral:rRNA from 1 species
AUUGAACGCUGGCGGCAGGCCUAACACAUGCAAGUCGAGCGGAGCGGCGGACGGGUGGGUAAUGCCUAGGAAUCUGCCUGGUCGUGGGGGAUCCCGUCCGGAAACGGGCGCUAAUACCGCAUACUGUCAGAUGAGCCUAGGUCGGAUUCGCUAGUUGGUGGGGUAAAGGCCUAGCAAGGCGACGAUCCAUAACUGGUCUGAGAGGAUGUGCAGUCACACUGGAACUGAGACACGGCCCAGACUCCUACGGGAGGCAGCAGUGGGGAAUAUUGGACAAUGGGCGAAAGCCUGAUCCAGCCAUGCCGCGUGUAUGAAGAAGGCCUUCGGGUUGUAAAGUACUUUCAGCGGGGAGGCGUUACCCGCAGAAGAAGCACCGGCUAACUCCGUGCCAGCAGCCGCGGUAAUAC